rnacentral:rRNA from 1 species
UACGUAGGGGGCAAGCGUUGUCCGGAUUUAUUGGGCGUAAAGGGCGCGUAGGCGGCCUGGCAAGUGGAAGGUGAAAUCCCUCGGCUUAACCGAGGAACUGCCUCCCAAACUGCUUGGCUUGAGACCGGGAGAGGUGAGUGGAAUUCCCAAUGUAGCGGUGAAAUGCGUAGAUAUUGGGAGGAACACCAGUGGCGAAGGCGGCUCACUGGACCGGUACUGACGCUGAUGCGCGAAAGCGUGGGGAGCAAACGGGG